rnacentral:lncRNA from 1 species
AGUGAAGCCAUUUGCAAAUGAAGACGAAUACAAGAAAACUGAAGAAAUAGUUCAAAAGUUUCAAGAUGGAGUUGGCAAGACAUUGCAUCAGAAGUUACUUGAAAGGGCUAAAGGAAAAAGAAACUGGCUGGAAGAGUGGUGGCUCAAUGUCGCCUACUUGGAUGUGCGUAUUCCAUCACAACUGAACGUGAACUUUGUGGGUCCGUCUCCCCACUUUGAACACUACUGGCCUGCAAGGGAAGGCACUCAGUUGGAAAGAGGAAGCAUACUACUGUGGCACAACUUGAACUACUGGCAGCUGCUAAGAAGAGAAAAAUUGCCUGUACAUAAAUCUGGAAAUACUCCUCUAGACAUGAACCAAUUCCGGAUGCUGUUUUCUACCUGCAAGG